rnacentral:sRNA from 1 species
AUGUAUCACUCGUACACUCCGGUUCCUGCGCGCCGCGCGCACCCGCCUGACAACCGCUCGCUACGUUUUGUCAGCU